GAUAUUGAGAGAUGUGAGGGUUGCAACAUCUCUCAUCCCACUGAUCACCAAGGUGGAUUUGGCUGAUCUGGCUGGCUAGGCAGGAGUCCCCCCUCCUCCCUCAAUUCUCCAUGUGUGUCCCUCCCUAAGCUUCAACUUGCUCGGUGGAAGAGGACACCUCCCGACUCCCAUAGAGGAGGAGCAGUUCUUUGGACAAGGGUAGAGGUGUAGUUUUGUUCCCCUGCUAGAAUCUCUAACAAGCUCUCAAAAGAUACUGAGAGCCUACAUCUUCCUUAACAUUCUUAAGUGUCCACAUAUACUUGGGUCUAUUUCAGACAGGUUCUUUUACU
ensembl:misc_RNA 7SK 7SK RNA